UACGAAGGGGGCUAGCGUUACUCGGAAUGACUGGGCGUAAAGGGCGCGUAGGCGGCUUGCACCGUCAGAUGUGAAAUUCCUGGGCUUAACCUGGGGGCUGCAUUUGAUACGUGUGGGCUUGAGUGCGGAAGAGGGUCGUGGAAUUCCCAGUGUAGAGGUGAAAUUCGUAGAUAUUGGGAAGAACACCGGUGGCGAAGGCGGCGACCUGGUCCGUGACUGACGCUGAGGCGCGAAAGCGUGGGGAGCGAACAGG
rnacentral:rRNA from 1 species